UGUGUAGGCGGUUUUCUAAGUUUGGUGUGAAAUCUCCCGGCUCAACCGGGAGGGCGCGCCGAAAACUGGGAGACUAGAGUGCGGGAUGGGAGAGUAGAAUUCCUGGUGUAGCGGUGAAAUGCAUAGAUAUCAGGAGGAAUACCGGUGGUGUAGACGGCUCUCUGGACCGCCACUGACGCUGAGACACGAAAGCGUGGGUAGCAAACA
rnacentral:rRNA from 1 species